rnacentral:rRNA from 1 species
GACGAACGCUGGCGGCGUGCUUAACACAUGCAAGUCGAACGGAAAGGCCCUGCUUUUGUGGGGUGCUCGAGUGGCGAACGGGUGAGUAACACGUGAGUAACCUGCCCUUGACUUUGGGAUAACUUCAGGAAACUGGGGCUAAUACCGGAUAGGAGCUCCUGCUGCAUGGUGGGGGUUGGAAAGUUUCGGCGGUUGGGGAUGGACUCGCGGCUUAUCAGCUUGUUGGUGGGGUAGUGGCUUACCAAGGCUUUGACGGGUAGCCGGCCUGAGAGGGUGACCGGCGACAUUGGGACUGAGAUACGGACCAGACUCCAACGGGAGGCAGCAGUGGGGAAUAUUGCACAAUGGGCGGAAGCCUGAUGCAGCAACGCCGCGUGCGGGAUGACGGCCUUCGGGUUGUAAACCGCUUUCGCCUGUGACGAAGCGUGAGUGACGGUAAUGGGUAAAGAAGCACCGGCUAACUACGUG